UCAUCAAUCCGAGAUUCAUCGAUUGGAAUUUUCAUGAUUUCUGCAACAACAUCCUUAAGCAAUGCAUCAUUUAACCUACCUAUAUCCCAUGAACCAUUUUGAUAGAAAUUUGACACUAGAAUUGUCACGACCCGGAACUCCCAUCGAGCCUGUGACAAUCGUCGCGAAGUCUCGCCAUAUAUUCUUUACCCCGAAUACUGACCGAAACCUCACAAGGCUUUCGUAUCAAUUUCCUUACCUCCCCUAUGGUCGAUAGUAACUAAAAUCGUGUUUUGAAACUAUAUGGACCAUUUUCCCAUCCAAAAACAAUGAAAAUUUAUUUCUGUCUCACAAGGGUAUUUUAGUCAUUCAUUUUUUUUCGAAAAUACCAAAACUCGCCAAAAACAUGGUGUAAAAGCUAAAUAUGUUCAUACAUACUUUAAAUCAGAUAACUAAAGUACAAAAUUAUUUUUACAGUGACACGUAAGUCCCCAACUAACCAAGAAGGUGUAGGGCUACGAACCCUUACUUUUUAGGAUGCAACUCCAAGAUUAAUUCUUAUCUCAAUCAACUAUCAACAAAUUGUCCUGAGCCUGAAAAAGAAAUGGAUAUGAAGAAGGGUGAGAUUAUAUAAUCCCAGUGAGUAAACAAUUACCAUCAAAAGCAUCUAAAGCCGAAUAGAUGGAGACAAUAUAAAAACGUUAUAUUUCAAUAAUGUUCAUAACGCAAAAUUCGUUUCAAUCUAUACCAACAAUUUCUUUUCAUCAAAAUGUUCCUGGCUUAUAAGUUUCAUAAACUUGGCCCAUGCCAGAAUCAUUCUCGCGGGUACCUUCGUCAAGGUAUCCCACUAAGACCGCCAAAGCUGUUAAAUGUCUCAUACCGAUAAACAUGUGUUCACAUCUGACACACAGUCGUUCCUUGGCCUUGGCUGAGUCUCAUUCUCACAUGAUGGCCCGAAUGUGAGGUGCACUCAAAUCUUACCUCAGGAGAUACUUCAUCCAACAUCUCCCCCCGGAGGUAGUUAUAUAAUUGGGUUACCGUGCCCCUCUCAUAGGCAGUCCACGGAAACCCCCACCACUGCAGUGACCGUUUAAUAAAUCACCAGACCCAUAAAAUUUUCAGUAGCAUAAUAUGGUGAAUAAAAUUUAAUCCAGUCUACCGAGACCAAUCCAAAACUGUUCAUAUAUUUCAUGCCAACCCCAAAAAUUUAGCCAUCAUGCUACCAUAGUGUCAUAAGCCACAAUUUCAAUAACAUAUAAAAUCAUAAAUUUCAACACAGUCUCCAUAUACUCAAUUUUCCCAAAACAAUAUUUGAUUUCAAAACCAGUAUAAAUCUCAUUUUUAUUAAAGAAAUAUUUUAAUUGGAAAACAUAAUAUUGUAUAAUUUAAACUCACCAUUCAAUAAAAACAUCAAACAAGUAUAAUUACUCUAGAUAUUUAAGACGAUAAAUUGUCCACUCACAGUUCUAGGAGUCGAUGUACUCCUAAUCCCAGUUUUCAAGCACAAUCUCUGUACUUUUACCAGUGUAAUUUGCUCACCACCUAUCUACAAUGUACAAUACAUAAUUCACCAUAUUAAUGUUUGACCAAUAUAAAAUCAAUUCAGGCUCGGUGUAUAUGCAUGAUAUGAUAUGCAACUUAUCUGAUUACCGCUUAAAUGCGGUGCUGACCUAAUUCGGCCUAUUACCCGAUUAAAUGAUAAUUGUGUCCGAUUUGACUCCAAAUUGCUCCCUUUCAUUUCUAAUACCUCAAUUCACCAAACAUUAUUCAAAUAACAUCAAUUUUCGCAUCAAAACCUUCCCAUUUCUUCAUGGAAAAAUUCGGCCAUUACAGUGCACUAACAUCGUGAUUUUUCCUACUUAAUUUUCUCACCAUUAUUCAUCAUUUUCUAAGCCAUUUCUUUUGAAAUAAUAACAAUCCAUCACCCACACACAUCAAGGAAGAUUCAGCCAUGAAGAUUCAUGGGGAAAAUGAAUUCUUUUCUUGUUGUUUUGCUUCUAAAUAUACUAAACUAACCUUAAUCACUAACAUAACUUAAAAUCAAACAAUUCCAACUUCAUUCUCUCUCCAUACCCAUUUUGACCAGCCAUGAAUUCAUCAUGAAAACAUGUAAUUUAACCAUGGAAAGUAAGGAGAAACGCAUGGGAAAGUUAGAUCACAAGUCAAAAUCAAGAAAAUUACCUUUUGUCACUAAUUUCCUUGAAUUUCCCACACUUUUCUCUUGAAAUUCUUCACCUAGGGUUUUUGUUUUUCUUUUCUCCCUUUGUUCUUCUUUUUUCUUUGUUUGGC
rnacentral:lncRNA from 1 species